GCUUGGAGUUGUCUAUCCGCUGUUUGCUAUCAAAGGUUAUCUUUUUUUUUACUAAGUACGUUAUAUAUUUAUGCAUUGUCUUUUGAAAUUACCUCUUAUUUGUAGCUAUAUGUGAGAUUUGACUUUUAUCCUUAAACUUGGGUAUUACAUUUACUAUACUGAUACUAUUACUAUCACUGCUAUACAACAGAUACUUUAGGUAACGACAUCGGCGCGUUAGAUCUAAACAGAAACGACGACAGUCACUACUGGAAUUCCGUUCUUUGCCGACUGCCAAAAGCAGUCGGCAAAGGCCCUAAAACAGGUGGCAAAGACUUUGCCGACUGCUUUAAACGUGGCAGUCGGCAAAGAACACGUGGCAAAGAAUUCGUUGGCAAAGAAACUUUUGCCACCUGCCAAGAGGAAAGCAGUCGACAAAGCCUUUGCCACCUGCUAGUAUGGCAGUCGGCAAAGGGAACGAACGCCGUUGUGAGAUGACGGAGCUCUUUGUCGACUGCCUUUUUUGGCAGGUGGCAAAGGGCUCUUUGCCGACUGCCUUUCUUGGCUGGUGGCAAAGCUGUCAUUGUUCGUGAGAUUCCAGCUUUGCCACCUGCUUUUCACGUGGCAGGUGGCAAAGCUGGAAUAAGUAAAAUUUUGACCAGUUUUUUUAUUUUGCAUCAUAAAUAUGAUUAUAUACUGAAAUUCACAUAUAUCACACAGAUCCAUAUAUAUCACACAAAUCCACAUAUAUAGCACACAUAAACCAUAAUAAAUGAGUCCAACAAGUCCAUCAUCCAACAAAUCGUAAAAUAGCUUUUUCUAUACAAUUUAAAAUAUAUUUAAUAUACUUGAAUAAGAACAUGUGUACAACACUCCAACAUGACCUAAUACACACGAUUAUAUAUAUUAUUAGUAGUCCAACAUGAAUCCACUAAAUACAAAUAUAUCCUAAUGUUGCAUCAACAUAACAACAAAGUACACAAGGCGCGUAGACUUUUGGCACCCAUCUACCCAAACCUUCUCCAAAUAUUUGGCAUCAACAUAACAAACUCUUUGCACAACCACAAAACUGAGAGUACUAGCUAAACAUUUACUAAAAGGGGUAACAUUGGACAAAGCACAGGCAACAGCCUUGCCUUUGUCGCUGCAGCCCCCUAUCUCCCUUAGCUCGAGUUGCAGAUUUGACAAUGCAACCAAGACAGCCACCUAGCAAAUUGGCAAAGAAGACAUCUUGAUCAUCCAAUAUCUGAAAUUAAGAUUGCAAAUAGGCAAUAAGAACUAUAGAGGUGUUUGGGUUUUGGACAUUCAACAUCGCAACUUGCUUAAAACUUUCUCAAACUUGUAACAUAGGCUUCACAUGUGAUAACAUGACACCUCGUCAAGUUUCAUAAUUUUCCGACUUCGUUUGAAUUUUAUAUAAUUAAAAAUCACCUUUGCCACACCUGGAUGGUCAUGUUCCGUGGAUAAAGACGUCAAAAUUUUGGGUGAAUUUCUGGAAACGACCUUAAAAUAGACUCUCCAACAUGAAUAUCAUUUUUCGAAUGACUAAGUUUCAUUAUUUGAUGCACGUAUAGUUCAAAGUAGGAUUCUGCGGUGGAAAAUACAAUUAAAGAAAUUAAUUAACAAAAUAUAGCAAAAAGGGUCACAAAAUCACGAAAGUUUUUAAGGUUCACUCUUAUUGCAUGUGGAGGCUAUGAAAAAAAUUUGAGAAAGUUUGGAGCAAGUGACGACGUCGAAUGUCUAAAACCUAAAUUCAAAUUUCGAAAAUAAAAAAUUUUAUCUUUGCCGACUGCCUAACGGCCUGGCAGGUGGCAAAGGGGAUGCCACCUGCCAGGCAGCCACCUUUGCCACUAGCUUUUCUUUGCCACCUGCCAGGAUAAUUGGGCAGUCAGCAAAGAAUCCUUUGCCGACUGCUUUUCGGAGCGGUCGGCUAAGAAAAUGUUUACCGACUGCUCUUCUUUUAUCAGGUGGCAAAAGAUUUUAGCAGUCGGCAAAGCCUAGUUUUCUGUAGUGAGUCCAACAACACCAGGAUCAUCGAGUAUGUAAAACUCAUUACCUUUGCACAUCUUAUUUUAUUAAUCAUAUAUAACAAACCCAGAAACAACACAAAGACCACGCCUUUUAUUCUGCAGGUACUGCUUCGCCCUGCAAUCACAGCGAAUACUGUCUCUGCUAUCCAGCCGAUUCAGAUUAGAACGCCGCAGCUGGAAAAAUGGUUGACAUCUUCAACAAGCAGCGACGAUCAACAUACAGUGUGCACCUCCAUCUGACGCACUUUCCUACGUACAAUACUAGAACAGUUGUAUAUAUAAACUAAUACGCCAUAGAUGUGUACUGCUACUGUAAUAUAACCUGUGUAAUAUUAAAGAAGACAACAGUCGUACUU